rnacentral:rRNA from 1 species
UGAGUACGAGACGCUAAGGCGUCGAAGUAGUGGAUGUCAUACUUCCAAGAAAAGCUUGCACUGUCAUAAAUAAAAACGCCUGUACCAUAACCGACACAGGUGGGUAGGUAGAGUAUACUAAGGGGCGCGAGAUAACUCUCUCUAAGGAACUCGGCAAAAUAACUCCGUAACUUCGGGAGAAGGAGUGCCUUAUUCGUAAGGCUGCGAUAACAAGAUCCAAGCAACUGUUUAUCAAAAACACAGGUCUCCGCUAAGUCGUAAGACGAUGUAUGGGGGCUGACGCCUGCCCAGUGCCAGAAGGUUAAAGAAGUCGGUUAGCAUUAGCGAAGCUGGUAACUGAAGCCCUGGUGAACGGCGGCCGUAACGAUAACGGUCCUAAGGUAGCGAAAUUCCUUGUCGGGUAAGUUCCGACCCGCACGAAAGGCGUAAUGAUUUGGAUACUGUCUCGGAGAGGGGCUCGGUGAAAUAGACUUGUCUGUGAAGAUGCGGACUACCUGCACCAGGACAGAAAGACCCUAUGAAGCUUUACUGUAACUUGAAAUUGAAAUUGGACUUUAUUCGCGCAGUAUAGGUGGGAGGUGUUGAUUAUAAUCUUGCGGGAUUAUUGGAGCCAUCAGUGAGAUACCACUCUUGUAAUGUUAGAUUUCUAACUUUGAAUCAUUAUCUGGUCAAAGAACAGUUUCAGGCGGGCAGUUUGACUGGGGCGGUCGCCUCCUAAAUGGUAACGGAGGCGUACAAAGGUUUCCUCUGAACGGGUAGAAAUCGUAUCUAGAGUGUAAAGGCAUAAGGAAGCUUGACUGUGAGACCUACAAGUCGAGCAGGGACGAAAGUCGGUCUUAGUGAUCUGACGGUACUGAGUGGAAAGGCCGUCACUCAACGGAUAAAAGUUACUCUAGGAUAACAGGCUGAUCUCCCCCAAGAGUUCACAUCGACGGGGAGGUUUGGCACUUCGAUGUCGGCUCAUCGCAUCCUGGGGCGGUAGUACGUCCCAAGGGUUGGGCUGUUCGCCCAUGAAAGCGGUACGCGAGCUGGGUUCAGAACGUCGUGAGACAGUUCGGUCCAUAUCCGGUGUAGGCGUUAGAAUAUUGAGAGGAGCCUUCUUUAGUACGAGAGGACCGAGAAGGACAUACCUCUGGUGUACCAGUUAUCGUGCCAACGGUAAACGCUGGGUAGCUAUGUAUGGAGUGGAUAACCGCUGAAAGCAUCUAAGUGGGAAGCCCACCUCAAGAUAAGUAUUCUCACC